UCUUACCCUACCCAUUCCCCUUGGAAAUUGUAUCUACUCCUUAUGUACUUAUCAUUGAUAUUCUGAUGACUUCCAUAUCUAUUCUUCAACUCUGUGGUACCUUGCAAAGCCUAGACAGAAAUAUUUAUUGCUCCUUCUGUCAAGAGGUGGAGUUGAUUUCUCCAAUUAUUGAAUCUGGCUGCCUUUGAGACUUGCUUUGGAGAAUAAAAUGCAGAAGCGAUGCUGUGCCAGUCCUGAGCUUGGACCUCAAGUUGUUUUGCACACAUAUGCUUUUGUUCUUGGAACACCUUAUCCUAGCCCAGUGAACAAACUGGGCUGAGCUGAUAAUAAAUGACACCCCCUUCACCCUUUCUGUCUAUGAGGCCCUCUGAAAACAGCUUGUCCUCUGAUGACCCAUUAGUUAACUGGAUAUUUUCAAAAUAUAAUUUUAAUCAUGUGAAUCAUCUGAACAAAUUUCUGUCACGGCUCAAAUUCUGUCAUAAUGUCCAUGAGCUUCUGCUUGACUCACAGCCUUGACUUUAACCCUUGUAUAAUUGGGAAAUAUUAAACAUUUUUGAAUGGGAGCAUGAUAAUACCAGAACUGAUCGGGGAGUUGUAUUGAGCAUGGCUUAUGGGGAAGCUUUGGUUGUAAGAAGAGAAAUUAAAAAGGCCUUUCAUACUUCCAGUGAGAAAGGAUGGAUGUCAAACCAGACUGGUGGUAAUGGGAAUUUUCAGUGUUCUUUGAAGGAAAAUUUUAGGAGGAUGAGAUGGAUACCGAGAACUACUUCAAGGGUAUGUUACCCAGGCUCUGUUCUGACCAGGUGUCAAGGGAGGAAAAGAGAAAAGUAAAAACUGCCUGUGAUCUCAAGCCUGGCUCAUAGAUAUAAGUGAAAGCAUUGUUUGAAUAAUAAAGCAAGGAAAAGAAGGAGGUUUAUGGAGCAAAGAAAUGGUCAGAAGACAACUAGAGGACAUGGUACUGGAAAGGUGGUUUGGGGUCAGCCCUUCUGUGCGUGCGUGGCAGCUGGUUGCUCAAGUUCAUUGCUCAGCUUUUCCUUCUGCAUCUCUGUAUAUGCCAUUUCUUCUACCCAGCUUCCUGAUCUACUUAUAAAACAAUACUUCCAAGA